AUUGAACGCUGGCGGUAGGCCUAACACAUGCAAGUCGAACGCGAAAGUCCUUCGGGAUGAGUAGAGUGGCGGACGGGUGAGUAACGCGUAGGAAUCUAUCCUGUAGUGGGGGAUAACGUUUCGAAAGGAACACUAAUACCGCAUACGCCCCAAGGGGGAAAGCGGGGGAUCUUCGGACCUCGUGCUAUAGGAGGAGCCUGCGUCGGAUUAGCUAGUUGGUGAGGUAAAGGCUCACCAAGGCGACGAUCCGUAGCUGGUCUGAGAGGAUGAUCAGCCACACCGGAACUGAGACACGGUCCGGACUCCUACGGGAGGCAGCAGUGGGGAAUAUUGCGCAAUGGGCGAAAGCCUGACGCAGCCAUACCGCGUGUGUGAGGAAGGCCUUCGGGUUGUAAAGCACUUUCAGUGGGGAGGAAAAGCUGGUGGCUAAUAUCCAUCGGCCGUGACGCUACCCACAGAAGAAGCACCGGCUAAUUCCGUGCCAGCAGCCGCCGUAACAC
rnacentral:rRNA from 1 species